AAGUUAAAAGAUCUUUGGGUUACGUUUGUUCGAGUCGCUAAUCUGAAACCUUUCUGUUUUUGUGCAAUGCAUCAGCCCUGAAGAAGUGGUCGAAUUUGAUUAUCGCAGAGGUUUUGACUGAAGUUUAGUUGAACACUCUUACCUCACCACUAGUCAUCUGAUGGAUGUCAACGCCAGAAUUUGACUGAAGUUUAGUUGGAGAACGGCAAUAGCUGAUACACGCUGUAGAUGCUGGAUCUCCUCUACAAAGUUAUUAGACUUUUCUAGCACAAAAUAUUUUCUGGAAUUUCAAGCCCUGAAAAAAAAGUUCAGAAGGUUAUUGCCGAGGCUAUUGAGAGCAAGGCAAUUAUAAGACGGACUCCUCAAGGCUUCUUUUGGUUCAAUGUGAAAGAGAAAAAUAAUGGAUUUGCUUUCUAUGUCAUAAAAUUCUGUACAAUUGCAUUCUGUUUCGACUCUUUAGAGGAUCUGUAUAUUUCAUUUUGUAACAAAAUCAGUUCACAAUUCUAAUCCUUUGGGGCAUUAUUACAAGAUCAGUGUACCU